UACGUAGGGGGCAAGCGUUGUCCGGAUUUAUUGGGCGUAAAGAGCGUGUAGGCGGCUAGGUAGGCCCGUUGUGAAAACUCGAGGCUCAACCUCGAGACGCCGAUGGAAACCAUCUGGCUAGAGUCCGGAAGAGGAGAGUGGAAUUCCUGGUGUAGCGGUGAAAUGCGCAGAUAUCAGGAAGAACACCCGUGGCUAAGGCGGCUCUCUAGUACGGUACUGACGCUGAGACGCGAAAGCGUGGGGAGCGAACAGG
rnacentral:rRNA from 1 species